AUGGCUAAAGGAGCAUCUCAAUCCCAAUCAUCAACUUCAACAUCCUCCCGUCCCGGAGGAGGAGGAGGCGUUGUCGCUCCCCGCGGCUCCGCUGCCGCAACCGCCGGCAUGCGCCGUCGCCGUCUCACCUCCGGCAACAGCAGCGGCAGUGUUGGAGGUGGAUCCAGUGGAAGCAACAACAUGCUGAGAUUCUACACGGACGAUGCACCGGGGCUGAAGAUAUCGCCGACCGUGGUGUUAGUCAUGAGUCUCUGCUUCAUCGGGUUCGUCACCGCGCUUCAUGUGUUCGGGAAGCUUUAUCGGUACAAAGCUGGCGGUGGUGUGUGA